ensembl:lncRNA
CUCAAAUGGCCCCAAGAUGUCCCCAAAGGUGCUCAAAUGGCCCAAAGGGGACCCCAAAUAGGAUCAGAUGUCACAAAAGGGUCCACACGUGGGCUCAAAUGGCCCCAAAGGGUACCCAAAGGGGCUCAAAUGGCCCCAAGGGGACCCCAAAUGGGAUGAAAUGACCCCAAAGGGCCCCCAUAUGGGCUCAAAUGGCCCCAAGAUGUCCCCAAAGGUUCUAAAACGGCCCCAAGGGGACCUCAAAUAGGAGCAGAUGUCACCAAAUGGUCCCCACAUGGGCUCAAAUGGCCCCAAAGGGUACCCAAAGGGGCUCAAAUGGCCCCAAGGGGACCCCAAAUGGGAUGAAAUGACCCCAAAGGGCCCCCAUAUGGGCUCAAAUGGCCCCAAGAUGGUCCCCAAAUGGGCUCAAAUGACUCCAAGGGGUCCCCAAAUAGGAUCAGAUGUCACCAAAGGGGACCCCAAAUGGGCUCAAAUGGCCCCAAAGGGUAACCAAAGGGGCUCAAAUGGCCCCAAGGGGAACCCAGAUGGGAUCAAAUGGCACCAAAGGGUCCCCAAAUGGGAUCAGAUGUCACCAAAGGGGACCCCAGAUGGGCUCAAAUGGCACCAAAGGGUCCCCAAAUGGGAUCAAAGGGGACCCCAAAUGGGCUCAAAUGGCCCCAAAGGGUCCCCAAAUGGGCUCAAAUGGCCCCAAGGGGACCCCAGAUGGGAUCAGAUGUCACAAAAGGGUCCCCAAAUGGGCUCAAAUGGCCCCAAAGUGUCCCCAAAUGGGCUCAAAUGUCACCAAAGGGUCCCCAAAUGGGCUCAAAUGGCCCCAAAGGGACCCCAAAUGGGCUCAAAUGGCCCCAAGAUGUCCCCAAAGGGGCUCAAAUGGCCCCAAUGGGACACCAAAUAGGAUCAAAUGUCCCCACGGGGACCCCAAAUGGGAUGAAAUGACCCCAAAGUGUCCCCACGUGGGCUCAAAUGGCCCCAAAGGGUCCUCAAAUGGGAUCAGAUGUCACCAAAGGGUCCCCAUAUGGGCUCAAAUGGCCCCAAAGGGUCCCCAAAUGGGAUCAAAUGUCACAAAAGGGUCCCCAAAUGGGCUCAAAUGGCCCCAAAGGGUCCCCAAAUGGGAUCAGAUGUCACCAAAGGGGACCCCAAAUGGGCUCAAAUGGCCCCAAAGGGACCCCAAAUAGGAUGAAAUGACCCCAAAUGGCCCCCAAAUGGGCUCAAAUGUCACCAAAGGGUCCCCAAAUGGGCUCAAAUGGCCCCAAAGGGACCCCAAAUAGGAUGAAAUGACCCCAAAGGGUCCCCAAAUGGGCUGAAAUGGCACCAAGAUGUCCCCAAAGGGGCUCAAAUGGCCCCAAAGGGACCCCAAAUAGGAUCAAAUGUCCCCACGGGGACCCUAAAUGGGAUAAAAUGAUCCCAAAGGGUCCCCAUAUGGGCUCAAAUGGCCCCAAGGGGACCCCAAAUAGGAUGAAAUGACCCCAAAGGGUCCUCACGUGGGCUCAAAUGGCCCCAAAGGGCCCCCAAAUAGGAUCAGAUGUCACCAAAGGGGACCCCAAAUGGGAUGAAAUGACC